UUGGCUUCUAAAUGGAACAGCACAUCUACAAAAGGAAAAGUGAUGGCAUCUACAUCAGAAAUCUGAAAAGGACCUGGGAGAAACUUCUAAGGGCAGCUCGUGCCAUUGCUGCCAUUGAAAACCCCACUGAUGUCAGCGUCAUAUCUUCCAGGAAUACUGGCCAGAGAGUGGUGCUGAAAUUUGCUGCUGCCACUGGAGCCACCCCAGUUGUUGCUGCUUCACUCCUGGGACCUUCACCAACCAGAUCCAGGCAGCCUCCCAGGUGCUACGGCUUCUUGCGUUUACUGACCCCAGGGUUGACCAUCAGCCUCACACAGAGGCAUCUUAUGUUGACCUUCCCACCAUUGCUCUGUGUCACACAGAUUCUCCUCUGCGCUAUGUGAACAUUGCCAUCCCAUGCAACAACAUGGGAGCUCACUCAACGGGUUUAAUGUGGUGGAUGAUGGCCAGGGAAGUUUUGCGCAUGUGUGGUACCAUUUCCCAUGAACACCCGUGGGAGGUCAUUCCUCAUCUCUACUUCUACAGAGAUCCUGAAGAGACCGAAAAAGAAGAGCAGGCUGCUGCUGAAAAGCCUGUGACCAAAGAGGAAUUUCUGGGUGAAUGGACUGCUCCAGCUUCUGAAUUCACUGCUACCCAGCCUGAGGUUGCAGACUGGUCUGACGGCGUGCAGGUGCCCUCUGUGCCUAUUCAGCAGUUCCCUACUGAAGACUGGAGCACCCAGCCUGCCACGGAAGACUGGUCUGCAGCUCCCACUGCUCAGUCCACUGAAUGGGUCAGGGCAACCACUGAAUGGUCUUAAGCUGUUCUUGUACCGGCUCUUAAGCAACAUGGAAGUAAGGUUGAUGGAAAAUAAACAUCAGUUUCUAA